UACAGAGGUCCCAAGCGUUGUUCGGAUUCACUGGGCGUAAAGGGUGCGUAGGUGGUGAGGUAAGUCGGAUGUGAAAGCUCCGAGCUCAACUCGGAAAUGGCAUUGGAAACUACCUUGCUCGAGGGUUUGAGGGGGGGACUGGAAUACUUGGUGUAGCAGUGAAAUGCGUAGAUAUCAAGUAGAACACCAGUGGCGAAGGCGAGUCCCUGGAAAACUCCUGACACUGAGGCACGAAAGCUAGGGGGAGCAAACAGG
rnacentral:rRNA from 1 species